rnacentral:rRNA from 1 species
CGGCCCAAACUCCUACGGGAGGCAGCAGUGGGGAAUAUUGCACAAUGGGGGAAACCCUGAUGCAGGGACGCCGCAUGAGCGAAGAAGUAUUUCGGUAUGUAAAGCUCUAUCAGCAGGGAAGAUAAUGACGGUACCUGACUAAGAAGCUCCGGCUAAAUACGUGCCAGCAGCCGCGGUAAUACGUAUGGAGCAAGCGUUAUCCGGAUUUACUGGGUGUAAAGGGAGCGUAGACGGUUGUGCAAGUCUGAUGUGAAAUUCCAGGGCUUAACCCUGGACCUGCAUUGGAAACUGUAUAACUAGAGUGUCGGAGAGGUGAGUGGAAUUCCUAGUGUAGCGGUGAAAUGCGUAGAUAUUAGGAGGAACACCAGUGGCGAAGGCGGCUCACUGGACGAUAACUGACGUUGAGGCUCGAAAGCGUGGGGAGCAAACAAGAUUAGAUACCCUGGUAGUCCACGCCGUAAACGAUGUGUACUAGGUGUUGGGGAGCAAAGCUCUUCGGUGCCGUCGCAAACGCAAUAAGUACACCACCUGGGGAGUACGUUCGCAAGAAUGAAACUCAAAGGAAUUGACGGGGACCCGCACAAGCGGUGGAGCAUGUGGUUUAAUUCGAAGCAACGCGAAGAACCUUACCAAAUCUUGACAUCCCGAUGACCGUUCUUUAAUCGGAACUUCCCUUCGGGGCAUCGGAGACAGGUGGUGCAUGGUUGUCGUCAGCUCGUGUCGUGAGAUGUUGGGUUAAGUCCCGCAACGAGCGCAACCCUUAUCCUUAGUAGCCAGCGGUCCGGCCGGGCACUCUAGGGAGACUGCCAGGGAUAACCUGGAGGAAGGUGGGGAUGACGUCAAAUCAUCAUGCCCCUUAUGAUUUGGGCUACACACGUGCUACAAUGGCGUAAACAAAGGGAAGCGAACCUGUGAGGGGAAGCAAAUCUCAAAAAUAACGUCUCAGUUCGGAUUGUAGUCUGCAACUCGACUACAUGAAGCUGGAAUCGCUAGUAAUCGCGAAUCAGCAUGUCGCGGUGAAUACGUUCCCGGGUCGUGCACU